rnacentral:rRNA from 1 species
AUAASCUUGGUUUGCRGUUAAAGCUCGUAGUUGGAUUUCGGGUGGGUUCYAGCGGUCCGCCUCUGGUGAGUACUGCUCGGGCCUACCUUUCUGCCGGGGACGGGCUCCUGGGCUUCACUGUCCGGGACUCGGAAUCGGCGAGGUUACUUUGAGUAAAUUAGAGUGUUCAAAGCAAGCCUACGCUCUGAAUACAUUAGCAUGGAAUAACACGAUAGGACUCUGGCCUAUCUUGUUGGUCUGUAGGACCGGAGUAAUGAUUAAGAGGGACAGUCGGGGGCAUUCGUAUUUCAUUGUCAGAGGUGAAAUUCUUGGAUUUAUGAAAGACGAACUUCUGCGAAAGCAUUUGCCAAGGAUGUUUUCAUUAAUCAAGAACGAAAGUUGGGGGCUCGAAGA